UACGAAGGGGGCGAGCGUUGUUCGGAUUUACUGGGCGUAAAGGGCGCGUAGGCGGCCCGUUUUGUCAGGCGUGAAAGCCCUGGGCUCAACCUGGGAACUGCGCUUGGGACGGAUGGGCUUGAGAUCGGGAGAGGAGAGUGGAAUUCCCAGUGUAGAGGUGAAAUUCGUAGAUAUUGGGAGGAACACCUGUGGCGAAAGCGGCUCACUGGACCAUAACUGACGCUGAUGCACGAAAGCUGGGGGAGCAAACAGG
rnacentral:rRNA from 1 species